GAGUGUCCUAGGAGUUGACAAGUACCUGAGGUACUCUUUCUAUCAAGGAUGCUUCAAGCAAAGUCGGCAUCCGAGUAGGAAUAUAAAUCAAAGGAUGCAUUUCUAGGAUACCAUAGACCUAAAUGCAAUGUACCAUUCAAGUAUUUGAAAAUACGUUUAACAGUAUGCACAUAAACAUACGAAAAACAUAAUGUCUAGUUUACUAGCUAUGAGAUAUAAGAGAC
rnacentral:misc_RNA from 1 species